AGGCAUAGGAGACAGCCCGCUGGGAAGAACGCGCAUUCCCAGUACCCUAGAAGAAUUUCUAAAUUUCCAUGGGUAAAUGUCCCAUCUGUUUCAAGUUUUGAAGAUGGAACUGGCAGAUCAACAGAUGCAUCAGAUUACUUUAAACGGCACAGCUAGAAUUUGAACCCAGGUCUCAGUGACUGGAAAGCCCAUGCUCUCAUCUUCUACCUCCUAGGAAGAGCUCUUGUCCUCGAGGAAAAAAUCUCUCCUGUACUGUCUCCCAUGGCAUCCACUUAAGGGUACUGGCAGUAGUGACUACCAACACCUUGGCAGAGUGUGUAUGACUUUGGCUGGAUGCAGCUGUGACUAGUUGGCAGUAAAGAAGCAAUUGAAGAUCACUGGGCAGCUACAGUAGCAACAAGAUGACCUCUACUUUUUGUGCCAGAGACCUUGACCUUCAAUUACUUAUUUCUGUAAUUUCUUGGUCAAUAAGAGAGUCUGACAUAAGUUGAAAUGAUCAAGUAUGUUUCCUGAGUGACUUCCAGCUCUGGAAGGAUGAAAUCCUACGAGGGCCAGCGGCUAAGGAAGUUCACUUUGAGAACACUGUGGCCACUGCAUUGGAAGAAAACUGAAAGGAUCAAGACUAUCCUCUUUCACAUCCUCGGCUUUUCUGGGAUUCGCCUGAUGGGGAGUGAGACUGAAAGUGAACUGACCUCAGGUGAUCUGGAUGCAGUGGUGUAAAGGAGCCAAUGUUUAUUUCCACAAAGCUCUCCUGCUGAACUCCAUUUUUCUAUUCUGUGUAGUUCCAGCUUCAUGCCAAUUGAGGGUAAGAUUCUCUGGCUCAAAGAAACCUGGCCAAUUACAAUGAUGGUACAUUUCCCUCUCCUUCCUCCUCCCUCUCCCCUCUAAUCCCUGCAUUGUUUAAAGGUCAGCUCUAUAAAAGUAAUAAUCUAAAUGCAUGAUAAAAACAGUAUUUAGUGAUGUGAAAGAAAGCCCUUUGCCCAAUACCAUCCCUUCAUCCAACUUUCUACGUGCAGUAGUUUUUGACCAUUUCUGUUUUUUAUUCUUGUGGUAGGUAUUUUCAUAUCUCCAAAUAAUAGUCUUAUAACUCCAUUAUAUUAAUAUAUAUAUUAUAUAUUAUCAGUGGAUCCUUAAAACUAUAAAAGAAACUUAGCUCGCAUACGGUAAUACACUGUACCUGACCUCCAAUAUACAAAUUUCAGUAAAUAUUUUGGCUUCCUCCAUUGGCUUAAUAUUAUAAAUAGUGAACUUCAGUAUGUUUUUAUUGAUAUGAUAACCUUAAAUAUGUGUAUUGACUCUCUAAUAAGUCAAAUGUAAAAAUGUGUAUUUCUUGCACUCCUUCCUUUUUGGCUUGUAUUAAUUUUCCCUGGGCCAUAGUUAAGUCUUAUAGACAACUCCAGGGGGCACCAUUCAUUCAUAUGUUUGCAUAGUUAGUGCAGUAAAGUGUCUUGUAGAGGGAAUACUAUUUUGUAAUUCAUAUAAAUACACUGUUUGGCCAAAAAUAGACAAGAUAAAUCUUGUGCAGAAUAUUCUGCAACUCUAAUGAAGUGUUUUGUCCAGAUGUCUAUUCUAAAACCUGAAAACCUGUAAAUCUGAUAACUUUGUAUAUUUUUCACUCUGGAAUUAAUAAGUGUGAUAUGAGCCUUCUGGAAAUGUAGACUCCAACGUGAUUCAAGUUCUGCUGUCUAUAGAAGAAUGUCCCUAAGCAUGCAAGUUGAAGAAUUAUCUUAUUUUACAUGACUUCACUUGAUUUAAAAUCAUGUUACAUUUCAAUUUGCUUCAUAUUUUGACCACAAAAAUUUGUUUUGGCUUUCUUUUUUUGCCUUGAGUUUUUAAUUGCAAUUUUUUUGAUGGUUGAAAGACUAUCAUUAAAUCUUCAAUGAAAUAUUUGUUAAAGUUACUUUUAUUUAUUUGUUUUUAUUAAAAUACAGUUGAUUUUCAAUGUUUUACCAAUUUCUGCUGUACCGCAAAGUAACUCUGACACACACAUACACAUUCUUAAAUAUUACUUUUCAUCAUGGUUUAUCUCAGGAAAUUGGAUUUAAUUUCCUGUGCCAUACAGAAGGGUCUCAUUGUCUGCCUACUCUAAAUGUAAUACUUUGCAUCUAUUAACACUGAACUCCCAGUCCAUCCUCCUCCCCCGGGCAACCACAAGUCUGUUCUCCAUGCCUGUGAGUCUGUUUCUGUUUUGUAGAUAGGUUCAUUUGUGUCAUAUUUUAGAUUCUACAUAUAAGUAUUAUCCAUAGUAUUUGCCCUUCUCUUUCUGACCUACUUCACUUGGUAGGGUAAUUUCUAGUUGCAUCCACAUUGCUGUGGAUGACAUUAUUUCAUUCUUUUUUAUGGCUGAGUAGUAUUCUAUUGCAGGUAUGUACAACAUCUUCUUUAUCCAUUCAUCUGUCAGUGGGCAUUUGGGUUGUUUCUUUGUUUUGGCUAUUGCAAAUAGGCUUCAAGCUACUUUUUAAAUAACCUCCUUCUAGAAAAACUUACAAUUUUCGUUUUUUUUUUCUAGAUCAAACGGACCUAAAUUCCUUGGUCAGCAGUUCAGUUUUUUUCCUUAGGAUUUUUAUUGUUUUUUAACCUCCCUGCCUUUGAUUAGGUUCACCACUUUUUGGAUCUCAUGUUCUCCUUUAUCCUAAAAUUCAUAUUGUGUUUUCUGGAAUGCAACACAGUGAUUUUUGUUAAAGUUACCUCCUAUGCACAUUUUUUUUAAGUCUUAAAAUGUUUGAAUUUCUUCCAUUCCUACUCUAAAAUAAGGAAAAUUAUACUCUAGAAUAUGUCAAUCUAUGCCGAGAAUCUAAUCUUUCCCAGUUGGUUAGUAUAUUUUCUUCUAAAGAACAUGUCUUCCUCUAUGGUCUGAGUACGAACAUCAUGCCGCCAGCCUUUCUUAAAGUGAUAUGGUUCUGCUCCAUCAUUUCUAAUGCUUUCUUAGUGGUCCACUAUUGAUUUAACUAAAUGAUAAUCAAUGGGAAUCCAGUUUGUUUUUAAGAAACUUUGGAACUCUUGCUCUACAACAAUCCUAUGAAGAACAUGAUUUCCUUUAUUUAAAAACAAUGAACUCUGAUACACAGGGUAUUCUAUGCCAGUACCUGUCUAUGUACUUGGUACAUACUACUUACUAAUUGGUACAGUAACCCUAGGAGGUAGUUACUGUUUUAUUUCCAUUUUACAGAUAGGGAAACUGAUGCAUAGGGAAACUGAUGCAUAGAGAGAUUAAGUAACUUGCACAAAGUCAAACAGCAUAACAGACAGGGUAUCCCAUCUUGAUUAAAGAAGAAAGCACUCCUGAUAAUUCUUUAUAGGUGCAUAAGCAAGAGAAUAUUAGAGUGAUAUAAUCUGGAGUUUGAGUUUCAUAAUGAAAAUUCCAAAGACUGGCUCCAGAGUGGCUCAUACGGAUUCUUGGUCCUAAAGGGGCUGGCUCUGAGAGCUGGAGGAAUCCUAUCCAUUUACAGUUCUGCAGUGGAAAAAUUGAUUCGGAACUAGCAAAAGUCGAUUUUAUCAUCUCUGCCUUGUAGGGAACUUAGGUUGUUCUGUUUAUUCUCUAGAGAGGGAGGGGAAAAAAAAAAACUCAAUAGAAAAUUGGGUUAGUUAUGGCCUAGCAAUUGCACCAUGCUGCAUUUGGAACAUCUCACUUUAAAAGUGUAAUCCACAGUUUAUAUAGUUUUAUUAAAAAAAAAGGGCUAAUGUGUUUAGGGAAAUAGAGCCCGGGGCAGGGGAAGGCAUAUUAAUGCGUAAAAGCGAAAGGGCUGUCAGAAUAACCUUGCAGUGAGCUGGUAUUUAUAUCAAGAUUAUAUAGUCAUUCAAGAAAGUUUUUUGCUAAACAAUGGGCAAAUUUGCCCCUUGUCUCCCUGCCCCCCGCCUUUUUUAGAAGGGAAAUGAAGGUUUUGAAUGGCUAUAAUUUAUUCAUCAGUUUCUGCUGCUAGGCUUUUGCAUGCCAAAAGAGGAAAUUUUACAAAGCUGAUGGUACAAAGAAUGUGGCAAUUACUAAAUUUUACUGCAUAUUUUUAUUUGCUAUCAGGUAAUGGAGUGGCAACAGAGGAUACUUGUGGUGAAGGAUAAUAAAGGAGUAAUUGGUAUAGUUUAGCUAAUGAAAAAGCCUUUUGAAAGAG
rnacentral:lncRNA from 1 species